rnacentral:lncRNA from 1 species
AUGCUUCUCUUUAAUUUAUUUACUUUCUCUGUUUUGCAUGAACACCGGAGCCGAAGAGUUUCAUGCCGAAAUUCAAUGAUGCUACCACUUCAUAGAGAUUGCACAUCCUCAUCUUUUCCAGUUCUUACAUCAUAUGCCCAUAAAUAUAGAAAAAAAAAUCUUCUUGGAGCUGAACACGACUCUUUUCUUUUUUGUUUAUUUGCUUAUUG